GAUGAACGCUAGCGGCAGGCUUAACACAUGCAAGUCGAGGGGUAGAGUUCUUCGGAACUUGAGACCGGCGCACGGGUGCGUAACGCGUAUGCAAUCUACCUUUUACAGAGGGAUAGCCCAGAGAAAUUUGGAUUAAUACCUCAUAGUAUAGUACAACCGCAUGGUUGAACUAUUAAAGUCACAACGGUAAAAGAUGAGCAUGCGUCCCAUUAGCUAGUUGGUAAGGUAACGGCUUACCAAGGCUACGAUGGGUAGGGGUCCUGAGAGGGAGAUCCCCCACACUGGUACUGAGACACGGACCAGACUCCUACGGGAGGCAGCAGUGAGGAAUAUUGGACAAUGGGCGCAAGCCUGAUCCAGCCAUGCCGCGUGCAGGAUGACGGUCCUAUGGAUUGUAAACUGCUUUUAUACGAGAAGAAACACUCCGACGUGUCGGAGCUUGACGGUAUCGUAAGAAUAAGGAUCGGCUAACUCCGUGCCAGCAGCCGCGGUAAUACGGAGGAUCCAAGCGUUAUCCGGAAUCAUUGGGUUUAAAGGGUCCGUAGGCGGUUUAAUAAGUCAGUGGUGAAAGCCCAUCGCUCAACGGUGGAACGGCCAUUGAUACUGUUAAACUUGAAUUAUUAGGAAGUAACUAGAAUAUGUAGUGUAGCGGUGAAAUGCUUAGAGAUUACAUGGAAUACCAAUUGCGAAGGCAGGUUACUACUAAUGGAUUGACGCUGAUGGACGAAAGCGUGGGUAGCGAACAGGAUUAGAUACCCUGGUAGUCCACGCCGUAAACGAUGGAUACUAGCUGUUGGAAGCAAUUUCAGUGGCUAAGCGAAAGUGAUAAGUAUCCCACCUGGGGAGUACGUUCGCAAGAAUGA
rnacentral:rRNA from 1 species